rnacentral:rRNA from 1 species
UGGCAGACGGGUGAGUAAUACGUAGGUAACCUGCCUCCGAGUGUGGAAUAACCUUUCGAAAGGAGGGCUAAUACCGCAUAAGACCACGGCCACUACGGUGGCAGGGGUCAAAGGUGACCUCUACUUGUAAGUUAUCGCUUGGAGAUGGGCCUACGCACCAUUAGCCUGUUGGUAGGGUAAAGGCCUACCAAAGCUACGAUGGUUAGCUGAUCUGAGAGGUUGAUCAGCCACACUGGAACUGAGACACGGCCCAGACUCCUACGGGAGGCAGCAGUAGGGAAUUUUGCGCAAUGGGGGAAACCCUGACGCAGCGACGCCGUGUGAGCGAUGAAGGCCCUCGGGUCGUAAAGCUCUGUCAGAGGGGACGAAAAACAAUAUGGCUAAUAUCCAUGUUGUAUGACGGUACCUUCAGAGGAAGCACCGGCUAACUACGUGCCAGCAGCCGCGGUAAU